AUAAAUGUGAGAAGGGAGGGACAGGCAGUAGAAACAAAAGUGAAACUGUUUGAGCAGUAUAUUCCAGAAGUCUUGAGGUCUUUCUGAGUGAAGCCUUCAUUGAUUUGAGAUCUACCAUACCAUUCUCCCACUAGGAGGGAAAACCUAUAAUAGCAGCAGGCUGUAAGAGAGACCCAGUUUGGGAAUAUUUUAAUGAAGUUCCUCCACCUGUGGGUAAGACAGGCAUGCAUGCAAAAUGCAAACAGUGCAACAAAGAAAUGCAAGGCCUGGUUGCCUAACUGAAACAACAUCAUGAGAAGUGUUCCUUCUCAGGUGGAAGCUGCACUGAAGGUGAUGAAAGAAACAUGUCUGAACAUGCAGGAUCUUCAGAUUGGAGAAUCCAUCCUCAACAUACAGGAUUCUGAAGACUAUCCACCUUCACGAUCACCAUCUUUUUCUAUAGUUUCAGAGUUAUGUGCCAAUGAUAGUGUUUCAGUCACAUCAUAUAUGUCACAGAAUAUCACAGCAGCAAAAAGAAAAAAAAACUCCAUCCAGAAACCACCAUAGAUAAGUUUGUGAUAAGAACUAGCAUAUUACAAAGAGA